AAUCAACGCUGGCGGCGUGCCUCAGACAUGCAAGUCGAACGAUUAAAGCUCUCUUCGGAGAGUGUAUAGAGUGGCGCACGGGUGAGUAACACGUAAGUAAUCUACCUUUGAGUGGGGAAUAACCCGGGGAAACCCGAGCUAAUACCGCAUAAUGCAGCGGCACCGCAAGGUGACAGUUGUUAAAGGAGCAAUCCGCUUAAAGAGGAGCUUGCGGCAGAUUAGCUAGUGGUAAGGUAAUGGCUUACCAAGGCUUCGAUCUGUAUCCGGCCUGAGAGGGCGGUCGGACACACUGACACUGAAUAACGGGUCAGACUCCUACGGGAGGCAGCAGUCGGGAAUUUUGGGCAAUGGGCGAAAGCCUGACCCAGCAACGCCGCGUGAAGGAUGAAGUAUUUCGGUAUGUAAACUUCGAAAGAAUGGGAAGAAUCAAUGACGGUACCAUUUAUAAGUCCGGCUAACUACGUGCCAGCAGCCG
rnacentral:rRNA from 1 species